rnacentral:rRNA from 1 species
UACAGAGGUCUCAAGCGUUGUUCGGAUUCAUUGGGCGUAAAGGGUGCGUAGGCGGCGCGGUAAGUCGGGUGUGAAAUCUCGGAGCUUAACUCCGAAACUGCAUUCGAUACUGCCGUGCUUGAGGACUGGAGAGGAGACUGGAAUUUACGGUGUAGCGGUGAAAUGCGUAGAUAUCGGGAGGAACACCGGUGGCGAAGGCGGGUCUCUGGGCCGAAAUUGACGUGAGGAGCGAAAGCGUGGGGGAGCAAACAGG